rnacentral:rRNA from 1 species
GACGAACGCUGGCGGCGUGCCUAAUACAUGCAAGUCGAGCGAAUCAGAUGGGAGCUUGCUCCCGGAUGAUUAGCGGCGGACGGGUGAGUAACACGUGGGCAACCUGCCCGUAAGAUUGGGAUAACUCCGGGAAACCGUGCUAAUACCGAAUAGUUUCUGACACCUCAUGGUGUCAGAGGGAAAGUUGGCUUUCGAGCUAACACUUACGGAUGGGCCCGCGGCGCAUUAGCUAGUUGGUGAGGUAACGGCUCACCAAGGCGACGAUGCGUAGCCGACCUGAGAGGGUGAUCGGCCACACUGGGACUGAGACACGGCCCAGACUCCUACGGGUGGCAG